UCCAUGGCUGCGCAGGGGCUCUCCACGCUGGUGCUCAUCUGGCGUCACACCAGUGCGGUUCUAAUGAGCGUGCGCAGAUUGCUCUGUCAUGUUGCGAAGACAUUCUCUUUGUAGUAUGUAGUGCAGACCUGUGUCCUCAGAAGACAAAGCAGGGGGAGGGGAGAUGAGGAGCUGUGUAGGAGCUUCUUGCUCUCAUGCAGACCUGCGUCCUCCAGGAGGGGGAGAAGAGGGGGUGUGGCUUAUCUCUGUCAUGCAGUUCUGAAAGAACAGAGAGAAAAAGAAGCCAUGACAUGUUGUCCACAGCCUAAUCCCAACAUCCAACAGUAAGAGAUCCAACAUAGAACUACAGAACUUCCUGGCCCACAAACAGUGCAGAACAGUCUUACCACCUGGAUGACCUGUCUAUUCUGUUGGAGAAGUUCCUGUAUAUAUUCCCUCUGGUUCCUCUUAUGCCCAGCGUUCUGUAGCAAAUCAAGUACGUACUAAAAUCACCUUAUGGUGGAUAACCCCUUUAUCUCUUCAGUAAACAAAUAUGGUUACAUCAGCAACCCUCUCAGAGAAACCUCAGGUGUGGACUUUGUAAUUAUUGCACAACUCUGCUUUGCACUCGUAAGAUGUGCCUUGAGGGUAAUAAAAUAGAGGUAAAAUACUUUAUUACUUUUUAUGUAACUAAGUUUUUUGUAUAUGUUGUAUUCUGUAAGUGUAGUUGUUUUAUAAAUGUGUAUUUCUAAUAAAGUUGUAGUAGCAUAACUAGGUAGGGUGCAGAGAUGAUGUCAGAGCCAGAUGAAGCAGCGGUUGAUGAAAAAUGGUCAGCUUCCCUGCAUCUGUACCAGUUACCUAAAUAAAUUGGCCCAUCGAAAGUGGUGAGUGCCAUCUCUUUAGAUCUACUGUAAGUGUUCUCCUAUGGACAGUGUAUUAGUGAGGAUCUUUACUACUUGUUUAAACUGAGUGCUACCACUGCAGCUCUCCAUGAUGAGUAGACCAGCAUAGCCAUAAGCCCUUUAUGUAGUUGUGGAUCCUAUAGAGGUAGUACCUCCUUUUCCUUCAUGUUUGUGAGAGAACAAAAGUAACUGUACUUUAAAAAAUAUUUGGUAGCUGUAGCACAAGAAAGUGGCAUUGUUUUAUUAGUCCAGCAGGUUCUCAUGAGCUAAAAUAAACCACAACCUCCCCCAGUCAAAGCAUCAUAGAAGAAUUUCAAAGGGGAUCUGACAGCAGGAUCAACUGCACUAUCCUGAAUAUUAAGGGAAAUAAUGCAGGUGAUCCCAAUUUAAACAGCUACCACUUCAGCUGUUUCAGAGAAAUCCUUAGUUUUGCUAAUAUGCCAAUUUUGUUAUUUGCGCAAUGGAUCCCUUCACCCUUCUUGAAUUUUCAUCUGGCUUCAUUCUCAUGUCUGCAUGGCAUGAAAGUCACUUCUUAUUACUAACAGGUGUCUUAUUAUUUUCCCUUCAUACUACAUAACACCUGCAUCCUCAGAGUUAAAUACAGUCUCAAUGAAUGUGAUGCAAGGUGCAUGCAACAGAUGCUGUAUUGUUAAGCAUGAAAGAUGAAGACAAGGGCAGAUUAAACACAAAGAGAUCUGGGUCAUACAAAGCUGCCUUAAUACAUUUGUUAGGUUGGUGUCUGCUGCAAUAUAGGAAUACUAGAAGGAUUGUUUUUAUUUAAUUUAUUUUUUUAUUAACUGCAAAGAGGCAUUGGGAGGGACAAGCUGGUCAAUUGACAACGGCCACCAUCACCAAUGGAGCCCUACCUAUGUGCACACCACUUUAGGAUGUGAAUACAGUUAAAAGGCCUGCCUAGCCAUUUUUUCUCUUAUAGGCUACAGGCUAUUUUAGGAUUGCAGCCUGCAAGAUGCCAGGAACAGACACAAAAAUAUGUCCCCAUGCCAGCGCAGUAAGUGCAAUGACAUCACAGUACUGAACUACUUCCUCUGGGCCACUGACUUUACAGACAGGAAAAUGCCUCAGAGGCCACUUGUUGUGGGAAUUGGGGACAGUCGUUUCUAAAUGCAUAAUACUGUCUUGUUUCCAUGACCAUCCAAACAUAUUAAGCUUUGCUUGUAUUAUUCUUGUAUGCAGUAGCAAACUGUCAAAUAUUCUUGUAGAGUUGGAUUCAAACAUUAGGUAACAACGUCAAUGAUGCUUUGAGCAAUAAAUAAAAAUGUUAAUUUCUUUGACUUGCUACAAUAAAUACUUUCUUAACAAUUUUAGUUUCGUGCUGCAAUAAAU